UNUGACUUGAGUGCAGAAGGGGAGAGUGGAAUUCCAUGUGUAGCGGUGAAAUGCGUAGAUAUAUGGAGGAACACCAGUGGCGAAAGCGGCUCUNUGGUCUGUCACUGACGCUGAGGCUCGAAAGCGUGGGUAGCGAACAGGAUUAGAUACCCUGGUAGUCCACGCCGUAAACGAUGAGUGCUAGGUGUUAGGCCCUUUCCGGGGCUUAGUGCCGGAGCUAACGCAAUAAGCACUCCGCCUGGGGAGUACGACCGCAAGGUUGAAACUCAAAGGAAUUGACGGGGGCCCGCACAAGCGGUGGAGCAUGUGGUUUAAUUCAAAGCAACGCGAAGAACCUUACCAGGUCUUGACAUCUCGAUGCUAUUCUUAGAGAUAGGAAGUUACUUCGGUACAUCGGAGACAGGUGGUGCAUGGUUGUCGUCAGCUCGUGUCGUGAGAUGUUGGGUUAAGUCCCGCAACGAGCGCAACCCUUAUUGUUAGUUGCCAUCAUUAAGUUGGGCACUCUAGCGAGACUGCCGGUAAUAAACCGGAGGAAGGUGGGGAUGACGUCAAAUCAUCAUGCCCCUUAUGACCUGGGCUACACACGUGCUACAAUGGUCGGUACAACGAGUUGCGAGCCGGUGACGGCAAGCUAAUCUCUGAAAGCCGAUCUCAGUUCGGAUUGGAGGCUGCAACUCGCCUCCAUGAAGUCGGAAUCGCUAGUAAUCGCGGAUCAGCACGCCGCGGUGAAUACGUUCCCGGGCCUUGUACACACCGCCCGUCACACCACGAGAGUUUGUAACACCCGAAGUCGGUGAGGUAACCUUUUAGGGGCCAGCCGCC
rnacentral:rRNA from 1 species